rnacentral:rRNA from 1 species
AUUGAACGCUGGCGGCAUGCCUUACACAUGCGAGUCGAACGGCAGCACGGGUGCUUGCCCCUGGUGGCGAGUGGCGAACGGGUGAGUAAUACAUCGGAACAUGUCCUGUAGUGGGGGAUAGCCCGGCGAAAGCCGGAUUAAUACCGCAUACGAUCCACGGAUGAAAGCGGGGGACCUUCGGGCCUCGCGCUAUAGGGUUGGCCGAUGGCUGAUUAGCUAGUUGGUGGGGUAAAGGCCUACCAAGGCGACGAUCAGUAGCUGGUCUGAGAGGACGACCAGCCACACUGGGACUGAGACACGGCCCAGACUCCUACGGGAGGCAGCAGUGGGGAAUUUUGGACAAUGGGCGAAAGCCUGAUCCAGCAAUGCCGCGUGUGUGAAGAAGGCCUUCGGGUUGUAAAGCACUUUUGUCCGGAAAGAAAUCCUUGGCUCUAAUACAGUCGGGGGAUGACGGUACCGGAAGAAUAAGCACCGGCUAACUACG